GGGAAACUAAAAGCACUGUUACAUAAACAGGUGAGAAAAAGAAACUAUAGGCCUGAAUCCAAAAUAGAAACUGAGAGACAGCAGCGAACAAGCACGAAAGCUUCUAGAAAAACAGAAGAAAACCAAAAAGAUAAAAGAGCGUAACGCAAGAGCGCAUGUGUAAAAGAGCUGAUGGAAGUAAGACAAUGACUUUGGCGCCAUAAACAAUUUAAAACGCUGAUGAAAUCAUACCUGUGUUCAUGAUUUAUUUUAAAUCACACACUGACCUCCAGCACAAUAAGGAUUAAUAUAAAUAGAGAUCGCUGCUCAAUGUUGUUCUUACCUCUGAUUUUGUAAUACCCAUAGGGUGUCAAUACAACGUAUUUUCAUUGUCAUCCAUAUGACAUACAGACAAGAUGUCCAUAGAAACAUGUAUAAAAAUAACUUUCCUCCUGGCUCCCUUUAAGACGUUGUUAUGGCCAUUUUUAUAUUCAUCAUCAUAUCGUCAAAUGUGUGUUCAUGUGUACAAUUUAUCAUGUUUUAAUACAUGAUGACUCCAUUACUCUUUACACUUUUGAACAGCUGAAUCAUGAUUAAACAGUACAGAUCGUAUUGUACCCAGUGCAGCAGAGUCUCUGCCAAGGCCAGAGUCUCUGCUCACAUGCAGAUAUACACGAACGCACACACUAUCAAGGACAGAUAAGAGUGGCGCCAAAUCUUCCUCAUAAUAUAAACGUCUUCAUCAUCCUCAAAUGUUUCCACUGUUGCAUCUGACCCCCCCCUUCUCCUCUGCCUCAGGGUGGAACUUCUUAUGUUAUCUAUAUAAAAGCUUAAGCUGUGAAACGGUCAGGGGGAGCGGCUCUGCCUUCAAACGUCCGGCCGGACGGUCACUAAUUUUUGUUUCACUUUGUUCCAUCUUUGUCCUUUUUUUUUUUACUUAGUUUUAGAAUAAACUUUUUUAUAAAAUCAUCAAUGCUCCGACUGGACUCCAUCAUUCAACCAGAGCAAUAAAUCAUGUCUUCAAAUGAGGUCAACCGCAAAUUCUGCCGUAACAUUUGGAUGUUCAGAGAUAACGUGUUAAAGACGUGUUUUGGACCACUUUUUGCUCAGUGGGAAUCUUACAUUCAAAGGCAGAGUCGAGGUUAUCCGACCGUCUGGAGGUGUGUGUGGAACAGCUGGAGACUGAGAGGCACCAAACCGACCACAGCCUGUCAUAUCAGCUGAAGCUCUCUGAAGACAAAAUGGGAAAAAGAAUGACCGCCAUGGAAAAUAGCUUUCAUCAGGAGCUGCAGCUGCUCAAACAGAAACACUGCGAAGGUUGGUCCUAUCUGUAUUUACCUUGCUGUCAACAAAGAGCAAACACGCACAUAAAUAUACAUAAUUAAAACCCACAAAUAAAACAUACAAAUUAGAAACA
rnacentral:lncRNA from 1 species